AAAAAAAAAACUCUGCUAGGGUUUCAUCCUUAACCCUUUGAACGUCGCCGCCAAUCUGCCACCUCUCCGCUGUGAUUACACCGUCAACGGUGGUCAGAGCUGCACCCCUAGGGGCUUUUUAGCUCCUCCUCGCGCGGAUCCGAAGGCUUUUCGAGGUAAACCUUCUCCUUUCUCUUUUGUUUACUCACGAUUAAAAAAAUAAAAAGAAAACGGUAGAGAAAACCAAAUAAGAAAAAAGAAAAGAUCACCUUUUGAAACUGUUUUUUUUAUUGCUUUUCUUUCAAAUAUUUUUGCUACAAUCUUUGUGGGUCUCUUUUUUCUUACAGAUUUUUUUAAAUUGGCCUUUAUAGUGUCGAAAAAUCCAAAAGAAAUAAUCAAAAUCUGAAAUUUUUUACAACUGUUAUCUGUCCUUUUUUGUUUGGUGCUGCGUUGUUCGUCUUUCGUUUGUUGCAGGAAUGGCCGUACGAUGACGUGGCACGGCGUAGCGCGUGGAGGCGUGGGGAGAACGGCGCUAGAAGCCUUUGCGGCGCUCGUGCUAGGGCUGAAUGCCUAGGGUUUCUUUUUCUCUUUGGUGUUGGGCCGUAUGUAUUCGGAUUUGGGCUUGGGUUUUAGUGAGUUAUUGUAAACGGUUUUGGGUCACUGUAAUAUGGACAUUUUGGACAUUUA
rnacentral:lncRNA from 1 species